GAUGAACGCUAGCGGCAGGCUUAACACAUGCAAGUCGAGGGGCAGCGCGGGAUAGCAAUAUCCUGGCGGCGACCGGCGGAAGGGUGCGUAACGCGUGAGCGACAUGCCCGUUGCCCGGGGACAACCGGUGGAAACGCCGACUAAUCCCCGAUGGGAUACGAUGCUUCAUGGCAUUGUAUUGAAAGUUACGGCGUCGACGGAUUGGCUCGCGUCCGAUUAGCUGGUUGGCGGGGUAACGGCCCACCAAGGCUGCGAUCGGUAGGGGUUCUGAGAGGAAGGCCCCCCACAAGGGGACUGGGACACGGCCCAUACUCCUACGGGAGGCAGCAGUGAGGAAUAUUGGCCAAUGGGCGGAAGCCUGAACCAGCCAUGCCGCGUGCGGGAAGGAGGCCCUAUGGGCUGUGAACCGCUUUUGCCUGGGGGCAAUAAGGGCGUCGCGCACGUCCGAUGAGAGUACCAGGCGAAUAAGCAUCGGCUAACUCCGUG
rnacentral:rRNA from 1 species